AUUGAACGCUGGCGGCAUGCCUUACACAUGCAAGUCGAACGGCAGCACGGGAGCAAUCCUGGUGGCGAGUGGCGAACGGGUGAGUAAUAUAUCGGAACGUGCCCAGUCGUGGGGAUAACGUAGCGAAAGCUACGCUAAUACCGCAUACGAUCUACGGAUGAAAGCGGGGGAUCGCAAGACCUCGCGCGAUUGGAGCGGCCGAUAUCAGAUUAGGUAGUUGGUGAGGUAAAGGCUCACCAAGCCGACGAUCUGUAGCUGGUCUGAGAGGACGACCAGCCACACUGGGACUGAGACACGGCCCAGACUCCUACGGAGGCAGCAGUGGGAAUAUUGGACAAUGGGCGAAAGCCUGAUCCAGCAAUGCCGCGUGAGUGAUGAAGGCCUUAGGGUUGUAAGACUCUUUGCCCGGGAUGAUAAUGACAGUACCGGGAGGAAUAAGACUCCGGCGUAACUCCGUGCCAGCAGCCGCGGUAA
rnacentral:rRNA from 1 species